rnacentral:rRNA from 1 species
GCAAGACUGCCGGUGACAAACCGGAGGAAGGUGGGGAUGACGUCAAAUCAUCAUGCCCCUUAUGACCUGGGCUACACACGUGCUACAAUGGGAAGUACAACGAGUUGCGAAGUCGCGAGGCUAAGCUAAUCUCUUAAAGCUUCUCUCAGUUCGGAUUGCAGGCUGCAACUCGCCUGCAUGAAGCCGGAAUCGCUAGUAAUCGCGGAUCAGCACGCCGCGGUGAAUACGUUCCCGGGCCUUGUACACACCGCCCGUCACACCACGAGAGUUUGUAACACCCGAAGUCGGUGAGGUAACCUUUUGGAGCCAGCCGCCUAAGGUGGGAUAGAUGAUUGGGGUGAAGUCGUAACAAGGUAGCCGUAUCGGAAGGUGCGGCUGGAUCACCUCCUUUCUAAGGAA